UUAAUGCAUGCAAGUCGAGCGAUGAGGCUCCUUCGGGAGUACAUCAGCGGCAGACGGGUGAGUAACACGUAGGUGACCUACCCUCAAGACGGGGAUAACGAGUGGAAACAUUUGCUAAUACCCGAUGACCUUACUAGGUCGAAGUAGUAAGGAAAGCUCCGGUGCUUGAGGAGGGGCCUGCGGCCCAUCAGCUAGUUGGUGAGGUAACGGCUCACCAAGGCAAAGACGGGUAGGGGGUGUGAGAGCAUGACCCCCCACAAUGGGACUGCGACACGGCCCAUACUCCUACGGGAGGCAGCAGCAGGGAAUCUUGCACAAUGGACGGAAGUCUGAUGCAGCGACGCCGCGUGAGUGAAGACGGCCUUCGGGUUGUAAAACUCUUUUGAGGGGGAAGAGCGAGGACGGUACCCUUCGAAUAAGCGUCGGCUAACUACGUGCCAGCAGCCGCGGUAAGACGUAGGACGCAAGCGUUAUCCGGAUUUACUGGGCGUAAAGCGUCUGUAGGCGGGUGUGUAAGUUGGAUGUGAAAGCUCCAUGCUCAACGUGGAGAGGCCAUACAAUACUGCACGCCUAGGGGGGGUCAGAGGAGUGUGGAAUUUCCGGUGCAGCGGUAAAAUGCGCAGAUAUCGGAAGGAACACCAGUGGCGAAGGCGGCACUCUGGGGCCCACCUGACGCUGAGAGACGAAAGCUAGGGGAGCGAACAGGAUUAGAGACCCUGGUAGUCCUAGCCCUAAACGCUGAAUGCUAGGUGUGGGGGCGUAGAGCCUCUGUGCCGGAGCUAACGCGAUAAGCAUUCCGCCUGGGGAGUACGGCCGCAAGGUUAAAACUCAAACGAAUUGACGGGACCCCGCACAAGCAGCGGAGCGUGUGGUUUAAUUCGAUCUACACGAAGAACCUUACCUGGGUUUGACAUAUAGGUGGUAGGAAGCCGAAAGGCGACUGACCCUUCGGGGAGCUUAUACAGGUGCUGCAUGGCUGUCGUCAGCUCGUGCCGUGAGGUGUCGGGUUAAGUCCCGUAACGAGCGCAACCCUUGCCCUUAGUUAUACGUGUCUAAGGGGACUGCCGGCGGGAAGCCGGAGGAAGGUGGGGAUGACGUCAAGUCAGCAUGGCCCUUAUAUCCAGGGCUACACACACGCUACAAUGGGCGGUACAGAGGGCAGCGAAGUCGCGAGGCGGAGCGAAUCCUAGAAAGCCGUUCGUAGUUCGAAUAGCAGGCUGCAACUCGCCUGCUUGAAGCUGGAGUUGCUAGUAACCGCGCGUCAGCUAUAGUGCGGUGAAUACGUUCCCGGGGUUUGUACACACCGCCCGUCACGUCAUGGGAGUUGGUAACGCCUGAAGCCGGUAGCUUAACGUUAACGCGGGAGCGCUGUCGAGGGCGGGGCUGGCAACUGGGACGAAGUCGUAACAAGGUA
rnacentral:rRNA from 1 species